rnacentral:rRNA from 1 species
CCUACGGGUGGCAGCAGUGGGGAAUCUUCCACAAUGGGCGAAAGCCUGACGGAGCAACGCCGCGUGGGUGAAGAAGGCCUUCGGAUCGUAAAACCCUGUUGUUAGAGAAGAAAGUUCGUGAGAGUAACUGUUCACGUUUCGACGGUAUCUAUCCACAAAGCCACGGCUAACUACGUGCCAGCAGCCGCGGUAAUACGUAGGUGGCAAGCGUUAUCCGGUUUUAUUGGGCGUAAAGGGAACGCAGGCGGUCUUUUAAGUCUGAUGGGAAAGCCUUCGGCUUAACCGGAGAAGUGCAUUGGAAACUGGGAGACUUGAGUGCAGGAGAGGGGAGUGGAACUCGAUGUGUAGCGGUGAAAUGCGUAGAUAUAUGGAAGAACACCAGUGGCGAAGGCGGCUCUCUGGUCUAUAACUGACGCUGAGGUUCGAAAGCGUGGGUAGCAAACAGGAUUAGAUACCCGAGUAGUC